rnacentral:rRNA from 1 species
UACGUAGGGCGCAAGCGUUAUCCGGAAUUAUUGGGCGUAAAGAGCUCGUAGGCGGUUUGUCGCGUCUGCCGUGAAAGUCCGGGGCUCAACUCCGGAUCUGCGGUGGGUACGGGCAGACUAGAGUGAUGUAGGGGAGACUGGAAUUCCUGGUGUAGCGGUGAAAUGCGCAGAUAUCGGGAGGAACACCGGUGGCGAAGGCGGGUCUCUGGGCCGAUACUGACGCUGAGGAGCGAAAGCAUGGGUAGCGAACAGG